GAGUUUGAUUCUGGCUCAGAACGAACGCUGGCGGCGCGUCUUAAGCAUGCAAGUCGAACGGUAAGGGAGAGCUUGCUCUCCCCUAGAGUGGCGGACUGGUGAGUAACGCGUGGGUGACCUGCCCUGAAGAUGGGGAUAGCUAGUAGAAAUAUUAGAUAAUACCGAAUGUGCUCAUUUACAUAAAGGUGAAUGAGGAAAGGAGCUACGGCUCCGCUUCAGGAUGGGCCCGCGUCCCAUUAGCUAGUUGGUGAGGUAAAGGCUCACCAAGGCAACGGUGGGUAUCCGGCCUGAGAGGGUGAACGGACACAUCGGGACUGAGAUACGGCCCAAACUCCUACGGGUGGCAGCAGCUAAGAAUCUUCCGCAAUGGACGAAAGUCUGACGGAGCGACGCCGUGUGAAUGAAGAAGGCCGAAAGGUUGUAAAAUUCUUUUGCAGAUGAAGAAUAAACACAGGAGGGAAUGCCUGUGA
rnacentral:rRNA from 1 species